UACGUAGGGUGCGAGCGUUGUCCGGAAUCAUUGGGCGUAAAGCGCGUGUAGGCGGCCCGGUAAGUCCGCUGUGAAAGUCGGGGGCUCAACCCUCGGAUGCCGGUGGAUACUGUCGGGCUUGAGUACGGAAGAGGCGAGUGGAAUUCCUGGUGUAGCGGUGAAAUGCGCAGAUAUCAGGAGGAACACCAAUUGCGAAGGCAGCUCGCUGGGACGUUACUGACGCUGAGACGCGAAAGCGUGGGGAGCAAACAGG
rnacentral:rRNA from 1 species